rnacentral:rRNA from 1 species
UGGGGAAUUUUGGACAAUGGGGGAAACCCUGAUCCAGCCAUCCCGCGUGUGCGAUGAAGGCCUUCGGGUUGUAAAGCACUUUUUGCAGGAAAUAAACGUCAUGGGUUAAUACCCCGUGAAACUGACGGUACCUGCAGAAUAAGCACCGGCUAACUACGUGCCAGCAGCCGCGGUAAUACGUAGGGUGCAAGCGUUAAUCGGAAUUACUGGGCGUAAAGCGUGCGCAGGCGGUUCGGAAAGAAAGAUGUGAAAUCCCAGAGCUCAACUUUGGAACUGCAUUUUUAACUACCGGGCUAGAGUGUGUCAGAGGGAGGUGGAAUUCCGCGUGUAGCAGUGAAAUGCGUAGAUAUGCGGAGGAACACCGAUGGCGAAGGCAGCCUCCUGGGAUAACACUGACGCUCAUGCACGAAAGCGUGGGGAGCAAACAGG